UCGCGAAAACUCCGCAAUACACGGAAGUGUGACGGGGCUAUCCCGAGUGCCGUCCGCUGAGGAUGGCUUUUACCCAGUUCAGAGACCUGGGAGAAUAAGGAGAGGGCAAGUCUGGUGUCAGCCGCCGCGGUAAUACCAGCUCUCCGAGUGGUGGGGGUGUUUAAUGGGCCUGAAGCAUUCGUAGCCGGCUAGAUAAGUCCCCUGUUAAAUCUGAUGAUUUAAUCGUCAGAAUGCGGGGGAUACUGUUUGGCUAGGGGGCGGGAGAGGCCAACGGUAUUCCCGGGGUAGGGGUGAAAUCUUAUAAUCCCGGGAGGACCACCAGUGGCGAAGGCUGUUGGCUAGAACGCGCCCGACGGUGAGGGAUGAAAGCUGGGGCAGCAAACCGGAUUAGAUACCCGGGUAGUCCCAGCCGUAAACGAUGCAUGCUAGGUGUUAGCGUGGCUACUAGCCGCGCUGGUGCCGCAGGGA
rnacentral:rRNA from 1 species